rnacentral:rRNA from 1 species
UACGGAGGGUGCAAGCGUUGUCCGGAUUCAUUGGGUUUAAAGGGUGCGCAGGCGGGAGAUUAAGUCAGGGGUGAAAGACGGUUGCUCAACAAUCGCAGUGCCCUUGAUACUGGUUUUCUUGGGUGACCUUGAGGUAGGCGGAAUGGGUGGUGUAGCGGUGAAAUGCAUAGAUACCACCCAGAACUCCGAUUGCGAAGGCAGCCUACUGAGGUUAACCGACGCUCAGGCACGAAAGCGUGGGGAUCAAACAGG